rnacentral:lncRNA from 1 species
CCCUGGCCGGCCUACUUACAGCAUUGGCCGGCCCGCUUGUCAUUCCCACCGUGGCUCCCAUUCAUGCAGUUUGGUUGCGUCUUGGUGUAUUUGAGUGUUUGCAAUAAAAAGGGCUUUUAAUUUUUGGAGGUGCAGGUCCAGCUGCAAUUAGUUCACUGAAAAGUCUACCGCCUUGCAAGCAGCCAACCGCGGCUAGCUUUAGCUCUUCAUUUCUCCCUUGCAAUUGCAAGCCACUAAUUCAGAGGAGCAACUAUGCCCAAAAGAAAGGCAGCCGUUGAAGGGCAGGUAAAGGAAGAGCCAAAGAGGCGGUCACCUAGAUUAUCUGCUAAGCCUGUUCCUCCUAAAUCUGAGCCCAAAACCAAAAAGGCAGCAGCCCCAAAGAAAGUGAACGUAGCAAAUGAUAAAAAGGAAAUCAAAGGCAAGAAAGGGGCUGCCAAAGUCAAAGUGGAAACCAAGCAGGAGGAAGUGAAAGAAGAAAACCACUCUGAAAAUGGAGAGACCCAAACUAAUGAGGUGCCAGCUGUGGAAGAACCCGAGGAGAAAGUAACCAAGCCUGAGUAAUACGUAACACUGCCCUAUAUCUCCAUCAGUUUGCAUGAAGUUAAUUUUGGAACGUCUCCAUCUUGGUCGCUUGGGUAUGAUGUCACCAACAACAUAUCACUGUCUCUGCAUUUUGUGAUUGUAAUAGUUUGAUCUAUGGGAAGAAUAAGUGGUGGUAGCUUCUGACUUUUGUCACUGUGUACCCUUCCUUGUGUAAGCUAUCCUUUCCGUCCUUUGAAUUUUUCUUUGGCCCUGGUACAUGUUUAAUUCAGUGAAGUGGGGAGGCCCCAAGUAGAAAGUUCUUGCAUCGGCUAGUCCGGGGUGUCUGUGGGUUGAUUUUAUAAAGAAGGUGAGCUAUUUUCAUGAAAUUCUAAGAGUUGGAAAUAUCUUUCCCAAAUAUAACUUUAAUAUUAGUUUUUGAAAGAAAGUAAAAUGUAAUCAUGUUUUUAAAUGAAAUACAAAUGUUUAUUUCAGAAGGGCAGGUUGAUUGUAUGUGUAGCCACUAUUAGAAAUUUUGCUGGAUUUAUCUUAAUAAAAUAAAAAGACUCCUCA